rnacentral:rRNA from 1 species
UCGGAUUGUAGUCUGCAACCCGACUACAUGAAGCUGGAAUCGCUAGUGAUCGCGGAUCAGAAUGCCGCGGUGAAUACGUUCCCGGGUCUUGUACACACCGCCCGUCACACCAUGGGAGUCGGAAAUGCCCGAAGUCUGUGACCCAACCGAAAGGAGGGAGCAGCCGAAGGCAGGUCGGAUGACUGGGGUGAAGUCGUAACAAGGUAUC